rnacentral:rRNA from 1 species
CAGUCGCCGCGGGAAAACAGAGGAUGCAAGCGUUAUCCGGAAUGAUUGGGCGUAAAGCGUCUGUAGGUGGCUUUUCAAGUCCGCCGUCAAAUCCCCGGGCUCAACCCUGGACAGGCAGUGGAAACUACCAAGCUGGAGUACGGUAGGGGCAGAGGGAAUCUCCGGUGGAGCGGUGAAAUGCGUUGAGAUCGGAAAGAAUACCAACGGCGAAAGCACUCUGCUGGGCCGACACUGACACUGAGAGACGAAAGCUAGGGGAGCAGAUGGGAUUAGAUACCCCUGUAGUCCCUGUCUCUUAUAC